rnacentral:lncRNA from 1 species
GUGCAAUCACUAACACUAAAGGUGAUAUUAAAGGUGUUAUAAUUUAAAGUGUUUAUCCUCAGGUUAUAUAUUAUUUUAAUAAAGGAGAAUCUGGCAACCACAAACUACCUGGCUCAGGAGCUUGGUGACUCCCUCCUAAGGAAGGACCCUCAGUGAGGGGAAUGAGCGGCCACCUAUAUAUGAGGAAAUAUGAAAUUUUUAUCAAUCGUAUCAUAGGGAGCCUAUUAGCUAGAGGAGGAGGGGCUUUCUUGUAGCCUCAGGUACUUGGAGGCUGAAGCAGGAUACCUGAGCCCAGGAGUUCAAGGGCAAAUACUUCAAUUAUUCCUCCAUCUCCUGCACAGCUUGCGGCCACAGUGAUUCCCUUGCGCCUGCACACACCCGGGUGUGCAGAUCAGCCACAGGGCCCGUGAUCCCACUGUGCGCACAUCGGUCGACCAUGGUGGCCGCUCCCCUUGUGCAGGGCAGCUGACCUAGGCAGGAGGGCGCCCUGGGGGGUUGAGGGAAGGCGGCUGGCCCUGCAGCCCUGGGAGACCUAGGGCGCACACUGGCUUUCCGCAAGGAGCGCUCCCCUGCGGUUUAAACCAGGGAAACCACACGCCUUCCUCCACCACACCUGCAGGCAGUGCCUCCCUACCCAAGGGCACGGUGUCUGUCUGGGCCUGGCUCCUGCCGGUGUGAGCAGAUGGUUUGCCUUCCUCCAUCUCUGCCCUUAUCAAACACAUUCACAUCUGACCACAGUGUCAGAAUUUACUGAAUAACUAUGAAUUCACAGGCUACCCCGCUUUUGGCAGUAGUAGGUCACUGGAUACUCGUGGGUCACCUGGUAGUCACAAGCUGGGCAAUUGUGAGUUCUUUCAUUCCAGUCUUAACUACUAAUGUCUGAAACACUCAAAUCACUCAUCACACUUCACACAAUGAUAAACAGAGGUGACAGAAAGGAUAAGAGAGGGUUAAGGUGGCCACAGGGGUCCAGGAGGCUGAGCUGAGAGCAAAGGCAGAGGGCAGAUACAGAUGCAAAGAGUCACCACAGUGGUCAGGUAAGAUUAGGAACUAGCCAAGAACUUGUUCAGACACAGAGCUGUGAAGCCCAGAGCUUAUUCUAGGCCAGGGUUCACAGGGCAGAGGUUCCACAGGGCCCACUGGAGAUGUCAGCUUGGAGUGGGUUGUAUGUGGUCACACAGGCAGGAGAAACCAUGCUGUGCUGAAGCAGAGAUCCAGAGGUCUGUCUCUGUGGCAAAUGUCCUGGGCAAGGCUCCUGAGGAGCAACCAGGUGACCGGUCAGGGUGCUUCCCUGUCCAGUCUUGGGAUCCUCCUCCUUUUACAAGCCUCAAGUGAGGGGCUGCUUCAUUUGGUGGUCUGGUGUUUUUGAUAAGCCCGUAGCCUGGUUUUCCUGGUGUGAGUCUG